rnacentral:vault_RNA from 1 species
GGGCUGGCUCUAGCCCAGCGGUUCCUUCAGCUUCACACAAUUCAUGUUUUCUGGGCCCUGACUGGGGUUCGAUCCUGCGGGCACCCCUGACCCACUC